rnacentral:rRNA from 1 species
CAGUCGCCGCGGUAACACGGAGGGUGCAAGCGUUAAUCGGAAUUACUGGGCGUAAAGCGUGCGUAGGCGGUUCGUUAAGUCUGUUGUGAAAGCCCCGGGCUCAACCUGGGAAUGGCAAUGGAUACUGGCGAGCUAGAGUGUGUCAGAGGAUGGUGGAAUUCCCGGUGUAGCGGUGAAAUGCGUAGAGAUCGGGAGGAACAUCAGUGGCGAAGGCGGCCAUCUGGGACAACACUGACGCUGAGGCACGAAAGCGUGGGGAGCAAACAGGAUUAGAUACCCGGGUAGUCCCUGUCUCUUAUAC